rnacentral:rRNA from 1 species
CACGUAGGGGGCGAGCGUUGUCCGGAUUUAUUGGGCGUAAAGGGCUCGUAGGCGGUUUGUCGCGUCGGGAGUGAAAACACCGGGCUUAACUCGGUGCUUGCUUUCGAUACGGGCAGACUAGAGGUAUGCAGGGGAGAACGGAAUUCCUGGUGUAGCGGUGAAAUGCGCAGAUAUCAGGAGGAACACCGGUGGCGAAGGCGGUUCUCUGGGCAUUACCUGACGCUGAGGAGCGAAAGUGUGGGGAGCGAACAGG